UGAACAACUUUAUAUACAUGGUGGAAAAUAUGAGUUUCGUAAACAUGGUCCAUUUGAGAGGAAUGUUACCCCCUCCAUGAACUCAUUUAUACAAAUUACACGGGGAGGAACUUCAUCAUAUGAGGAUGAGAUAUUUUGAUUGUAUCGAGUGCGCCUAUGUAACUCUAUCCCUCUUGAUUUCUUGUGAUACAAUUGUAGGAUGAUCUCUUGUGAUAUGUAUUUUUCUCCACCUUUCGUCCAUUCUUUUGUGCUCUUCAACUCGCUCUGUUCUUCUUAGGAAUGCCAGUUCUCUCAACUGUGUUAUCGCUUCCCAUUCUUCUUUGAGCCACAAAGUUAGUCUACUUCACUAUAAUUAUCCUCUUCUUUCACGAUCUCUCCAGUUUCCAUCACUUUCUACCCUCUAUGAUAUUUCAAAUGUGAUAAAUGGUCAUUUUGUUGAGAAAUUCGCAGUUUCACUACCAAAUGUUGUGAAAUACAAUCUCUACCCAAAUAUUUAAUCAAAGGAUGAUAUACAAGGAUUGGAUAUGCAAAAUGUUGUGAUUGCGGGAUAUGCAAAUUGUGAAAGCAUAGACAAGGCAUAUGAACAUUUUGCAGAAUGCCUCAAGAAAAUGUGCUCUGACGGAAUGCUAUCAUUGAAGCAAAUUCAAUUGGCAGGUGUAAAGCCAGAGUCUGCAACUUUUGGCGGCAGCAUCCCAACCUGUACAAAAUGGGAGCUUUGGAACAGUGUACAGCUAUCCAUCACAGCAUAAAGUAUAGGGAAUUUGUUCAGAUGUUGUAGUGGCAACAAACAUGGUAGACUUAUGAAAAAUUUGGAAGCAUUGACAAGGCAAGUGAACUGUUUGACAAAAUGCUCAAACAGAUGUGAUCUCAAGGAAUUCCAUAAUUGCAAGAUAUGUAUAAAAUGGAUUUGUUGGCAAGGCUUAAGAAUUUUUCAAGCAAAUGAAAUUGACGGUUGUAAAACCAGGACCCUCCCCGCCCGGGCCAAAAUGGGAGCUUUGUAACAGGGUUGAUCAUCCAUCAAAGCAUAAUAGGUGAAAAUGCUGUUGGACAUGUAUGGAAAAUGUGGAAGUAUAGACAAGGCACGUGAACUAUUCGAAAAAAUGCCUUAAAGAAAUGUGGUCUAAUGGAAUGCAAAGAUUGCAGUAUAUUCACAAAAUCGAUUUUGCAAGAAUGCUCUGGAAAUCUUUGAAUUAAUGGUUCAAAUGGUAAAGGAAUUAAAAAGAUCCCUGCAUGCAGUUUGAUUCAAGGCAAUAAAAUGGUAAGUGAUUUGUGUGUUGGAGAUGGACCACAUCGACAGACACAUGAGAUCCAUGGAAAGCUUGAGAAAUUGGCUUGGGAGAUGAAGGCAAAAGGGAACUAAAUCCCAGCAUCCUCUGACACAGGCUACUCCUUAGGAGCUUUGAUCUAUUGAAUUGUCAAACACAACGGAAACGAAAACUCGGUCAUCUGUAAAGGUUCCAGGCGACUCUACUCACAUGGCAGUACAUGAGAAGCCGCAUUCAUGGUUUAUUAUCGUCUACAUCGCUUUUCUGGUUAUUAUCUGGUUCCAAUACUAUUGUAUUCUCAUCCGUUUCAUGCGAAUUUAGUUUUUAAUAUACAACAUCGCUUUAAUAUAGCAACACCUGGAGAGUCAAAUUUCAAGAUUUCUUACCAUUUGACAAACCUCCUGAUAAGAUCUUUUCUCCAUCUUUUGGAGUAGUCAAUGUAUCCAACUCCAUUGGAUUUUGAAACAAUCCCUUUCUUUAACAACUUUAUGCAAAAUAGCUAAAUCUACUCGAAA